rnacentral:tRNA from 1 species
GAGGGCAUAGCUGAGUGGCAGAGUGCUUGCCUAGUAUGCAUGAAGUCCUGGGUUCAAUCCCCAGUACCUCCA